GCCAAGAUGGCCGACAGGGAGACAGGAAGAGCAACUCCUCCUGAGGGAGGCCACCACAGGCUCAGGGCACCCGGAGAGGGACUCUUCCUGGAAUCUCUCCUACAAAGAUACUUGUUCGUGUGCACAAACAUGAGUCUACGAAGGAUGCCUCAUGAACUGGAAAGCCAAAUGGAUGUCCAUCAAGAGCAUACCUGCACACGCAGGCAUCCUUCACUCCUGCCUCCUGGGACCGUGUGCCAUCAACCAAAUUAACUGCUACACACAGCUUGUGUCUCAACUCUGGCAUUGGGAGCACUCUGCCUCAGGCAAGACUCACCUCCAAGACUCGGGUUCAAAUGACAUCCAAGAAAAGCGUUGUGGGAUUGUUAAAAGUAUGAGAUUAAAGGGCCAGCCCAUCAGGAACAGUCUUCCAAGCACCAUGCAAAGAGUGGUGUGACACCAACCGCUUUCUUCUGUACCCGCAUUCUAAACCGGUGUUUCUCAGGCUGGGGUUUAUUAAAAAUAGUUGGCAGGGUUGAGGCAGGAGGGCAGUGCCUUGCCCACAUGCCCCCUUAAGAAUAAAAC
ensembl:lncRNA